UCACCAGAGAUGCGGGCUACUUUUUCGUGGGCCACCCUGUAUAACAGCUUAAUAUUUUAGAGCUUAUACAUCAUUUUAUGAACAUAUCAUUUUCGGAGGAAAAGGAAGAAGUGCUUCAGCAGAUCGAGUAAAUUUCCUGCACCUGCAAACAAGAUGGGAUGGGGUGACAAACUCUGAGCCGCCCACGUCUUACUAUGCAAACUCUGAUAACUGUACAUGGGCAGGUCUGAAAUACUACUUUCCCCGUGUAUGUGCACACCCCUCUUAGCUCUGCACAAUUAGGAGCCCACAAUUGCCUAAAACGAGUAAGCAAACAGCGCCAGGGUAUAAAACAGCCCUCACAAUCUGCAUUGUUGUGCCCCACAUGCUAUUAGCUGUUACUUUUAUUUAUUGAACUGUGUGCCUCCUUUGUCUUGUCAUUUAUUAACACACCAGUUAGUCACGUCCUGCACGCUCAGCGAUAUUAUAAAUGCCCAUGAAGCUCAUGUAAUGCAUGCAGGUUCCAUGACAAAAAAACAAAAAAAGAAAUAAUGCAGAGCACCCCUUGUGUCUCACCUAGGCACCCCCUUUAUGUCUAGUUUUGGUCACUUCCAAAAUGUGUCUUUAAGUUAUAUAACCCCCUGGAUCUGGUUAGUUGUGAAUAUGUCUACGCACAUCUCUUAUCAAGAUCCAAUCAUCUAACCCAGGAAAUCACUCACCUUACAAGUGUCUUAUAUCUUAAAGCUUUGUUUAAAUGUGUACUGUCUGCUGUGUACUUCUUUGUAAAUCAUUACUUUUUAUUGUCUUUGGUUGCAGAUCUGUAAAUACCUGUAUGUUUCCUUUGUAUAUGUUUCAGUUUACAAUGAGGUAUGUCCAGUAAAAUCCUUCAAGAAAGCUCACACUUGUCACUUUGUGUGGAAGUGCCACGUUGUUUAAGCUCUCUAUGCCCGAGCAAGUGGGCAGAAAAUAUGUUGUUAGAUUUAAUUUUAAGACCUGGGUCAUCCUCAUUUGCAUGGAGAUGGUUUUGCUUUGAAAAGACCUAUGUUGCUCAAAUGAUGGCAAUCUGCACACCAUGCUGGAAAUCGGUUGCUGUUAAAGACAGUUCAUCAACUAACUUCUUUCACCAUCUGCAAACUAAACACCACACAGAAUAUAAAGAAUACAAGAAGCUUCAGGGGUCAGCUGUUAAGGCACAAGCACAAAAACAUACUCAACGGUCUUUAGCGGAAUCAUUCUGCAAAAAGUGCCAUAUGACAAUUAAAGCAACAGAUGACAUGACAUAACAAACGCCGUCACCAAUUACAUUGCAAAACAUAUGGUGCUAAUUCAAGUGGUUGAGAGGGAUGGUUUCAAAUAACUUUUGCAUACUAUAGACCCAAUAUAUACACACUACCUGGCCGAAAAUAGUUUAGUCAAAAAGCUCUACCUAAGCUGUAUGAUUCAUGUCACCAAAUUCUGAUGCAUAAACUGCAGAAGGUUUCACAUUUUGCCACAACAACGGAUUUAUGGUCAAGCCAAACAACAGAGCUAUAUCUCUUCUUGACAGUGCCUUUCAUCUGUGAAAACUGGCAACUGCAAAAGCUACUGAUUGCAAACAUCCUACUUCCUAGAAGCGCACACAGGUGACAUCUUCGCGCAAGGUCUGAAAGAUGCAUUGGCAUCAUGUUCACUGUAAGAAAACCACAUGGUUUGCAUGACAACAGACAACGGGGCUAACAUUGUCAAUGCACUAUGGAUUAACAACUGGAAAAGGCUUCCUUGUUUUGGACACAGGCUUCAUAUUGCCAUUGACAUGCGGGAUACGAGAAUAGACACAGCCAUUGGAAUUUGCAAAAUGGUGGUGGGAGGUUUUUCCAAUAGCUGGAAAAGAAUAAGGCACUUCCUGAUGUACAAGAGCAGCUGAAACUUCCAGAGCAUAGUCUCAUCACCUAGUCACCAACAAGAUGGGACUCCAGACAGGGCAUGAUAGAGAGAUUUAUUGAACAAGAACAUGCCAUUCGUCAUGUGUUGACUGCAGACAAAAAGCACAGGUAUCUUGUCCCAACAUGGUAAGAUGCUCAGGUGCUGGAUGCAGUAAGUAAAGCACUUGGCCCUCUUCUGGACUUCACAGAUGCCCUUUCAAAUGUGCAACUAGUAAUAGUUUCAUACUUAAAACCUGUGUUUGCCUUGUGCGUCACUGAAGUCCUGGUGGUGAAGUCUGAAGACACAGACCUAACCAAAAAGAUCAAACAAAUCAUUCUAGAGUAUCUGGACAUGAAGUAAACAGAAGACUGUGGGAAAGAGCUGUUGAGUUUGGGAUCUACACUUGACCAAUGGUUCAAAAACUGCUACAAUAAUGAUGACAGGCUCAAACCCAUUACAACAGCAGUUAUGACAAAACUCAUGGCUAU